UCCGGUUUAUCACCGGCAGUCCCCUUAGAGUUCCCGGCCGAACCGCUGGCAACUAAGGGUAGGGGUUGCGCUCGUCGCGGGACUUAACCCAACAUCUCACGACACGAGCUGACGACAGCCACGCAGCACCUCCACAGCAGUUCUUGCGAAAAGGGAUAUUUCUACCCCGGUCCACUGUGCUUCGAGCCCAGGUAAGGUUCUUCGCGUUGCGUCGAAUUAAACCACAUGCUCCGCUGCUUGUGCGGGCCCCCGUCAAUUCCUUUGAGUUUUAGCCUUGCGGCCGUACUCCCCAGGCGGGGCACUUAAUGCGUUAGCGUCGGCACGGGGGGAGUCGACACCCCCCACACCUAGUGCCCAUCGUUUACGGCGUGGACUAC
rnacentral:misc_RNA from 1 species